rnacentral:rRNA from 1 species
CCCUUAGAUGUUCUGGGCCGCACGCGCGCUACAAUGAUGAAUUCAACGAGUUUAUAACCUUGGUUGAAAAGCCUGGGUAAUCUUUUGAACUUUCGUCGUGAUGGGGCUAGACCCUUGCAAUUAUUGGUCUCCAACGAGGAAUUCCUAGUAAACGCGAGUCAUCAGCUUGCAUUGAUUACGUCCCUGCCCUUUGUACACACCGCCCGUCGCACCUACCGAUUGAAUGGUCCGGUGAAAUCUUCGGAUUGAGACUUUGUUUUCUUCACGGAAAACGCUGUUUUAAAAAGUUGAUUAAACCUUACCAUUUAGAGGAAGGUGAAGUCGUAACA